CUUCACAGAAAUGGCAUCGUAUAGCAACGAGGACUCAACUGAACGAUUCCUUUCUUCAGUUAUCUUCGCUCUCUCUCUAACUUGACCACGCUACGAAAUUUCUCCUUCCAGUCUACAGUUCUCUCCGUUCUUGUGUUCAUCGACAAUGGCGCUGAAGAAAGGAUCGGUGUCUGGUUUUGCUAAGCACGAGGAUGAAGGAGGUAAUGGUGGUAUCGGAGGAUAUAGGUUAGUUUUGGCUGUUCUCGUCGCUCUCUCUGUUCUUGCGUCCUUGCCUUUUGUCGUCGUCAGCGACUUCCACACUAUUGGUGAAGGGGUUAUUUCAAGUAGUCCAAGCAAAGGGGUAAUUGAUGAUAUUCCAGUCAAAACAAACAAUACUGCAACUAUUGGUGUUAAUUCUUCGGUGAACAAUAAUUUUACCUUAUCUUUGAGUUUGGUUGGGGAUUCCUCAGUUGAUGCGAUUUCCAUGCUAAGCCAAACGACUGUAGUUUCGAGAGGAACCCUCCAGGUCGAAGAGGACACUUCUUUGGGUGCAGCCAGAAGGAUAGCAAGAGAAGAACGACACGAAAAUCAAUUGCUGGAGUUGGACUUGGAUCCGCCGAAUGAAGAUACCAUUGUAAAACUUGAGAAUGCAAAUAUGCAGGCCUCUGAACUAGUUGACUCCUCGAUCAUUGGAAAAUACAGUAAAUGGAAGAAAGAAAACCAGAACAAGAAUCAAGAUUCUACUAUACGUCUAAUGCGAGACCAGAUUAUUAUGGCAAGAAUAUAUUUGAGCAUUUCGGAAAAGAAAAGGAAACAUGAUUUGGUUCAAGAGCUCCAAAUUUGUCUUAAAAGGAGUCGUGGUGUACUAGGAGAGGCAAAUAUUGAUGCUGAGUUGCAUUACAGUGCGCCCAAGAAAAUAAAAGCUAUGGCUGAUGUUCUUUCAAAGGCGAGAGAUCAACUGUUUGAUUGCAAGUUGGUGACCAGGAAGCUGAGAGCAAUGCUUCUAACCGAAGAAGAAAAGGUUAGAAGGUUGAAAAGGCAAAAUACAUUUCUCAUUCAAUUGGGAGUUAAGGGUAUUCCAGGCGGUAUUCGCUGCCUGUCCUUGCGCCUCACCAUCGAUUACUACCUUCUUCCUCCGGAGAGGAGAAAUUUCCCUAGAAGUGAAAAUUUGGAAGAUCCAAGAUUUCACCAUUAUGCUCUCUCCACUGACAACGUCUUGGCUGCCGCAGUAGUUGUGAACUCAACCGUAAUGAAUGCUAAGGAUUCUUCAAAACAUGUAUUCCACCUGGUAACUGAUAGUCUCAAUUUUGGAGCAUUGAAAAUGUGGUUUCUCUUAAAUCCUCCUGAAGAGGCUACGAUCCACGUUGAAAAUUUAGAUGAACUCAAGUGGCUGAACUCAUCCUAUUGCCCAGUACUCCGCCAGCUUAAUUCUGCAGCAAUGAGAGAGUAUUAUUUCAAGGCUGGACAUUCUACCACUCGGUCAUCUAGUGCUUCUAAUUUGAAGUACAGGAACCCAAAAUAUCUCUCAAUGCUAAAUCAUCUGAGGUUCUAUCUACCUCAAAUUUUUCCCGAGUUAGAUAAAAUUCUAUUUCUGGACGAUGACAUUGUUGUCCAGAAAGAUUUGACUGGAUUGUGGCUUGUAGAUCUUGAGGGAAAAGUCAAUGGUGCCGUGGAAACCUGUGUUGAGAAUUUUCAUCGUUUUGACAAGUACCUUAACUUCUCAAACUCUUUUAUCGCUAGAGAAUUCGACCCAAAUGCAUGCGGUUGGGCAUAUGGAAUGAAUAUAUUUGAUCUCAAGGAGUGGAAAAAGAGAAAUCUCACUGGCGUAUAUCAUACAUGGCAGAACUUGAAUGAAGAUAGGCUGCUUUGGAAGCUGGGUACCUUGCCACCAGGUUUGAUGACAUUUUAUGGGCUGACAUAUUCCCUCAAUAAGUCUUGGCAUGUGCUUGGAUUGGGUUACAAUCCAAGUAUCAACCCAUCAGAGAUAGAAAAUGCAGCUGUUAUUCACUAUAAUGGCAACAUGAAACCUUGGAUGGAGAUGGCAAUGACGAAGUAUCGCCCCUACUGGACAAAAUAUAUUGACUACGACAAUCCUUAUCUUCGCCAGUGCAACUUCGUUAAAUGAAACUUACUGUGGAUAACUGCAGCUACAGUCAUCAUCGACAAUGGCGUUGAAGAAAGGAUCGACAUCUGGUUUGGCCAAGCACGGGACGAAGUAGAAAAAUGGCGAUGCAGGAGAAAUGGCUUCCCCACAACUGUCCAAGGAAACAGAUACCGACCAAGGAGAAGAGGACAGAGGAUAAAGCAUCGCCCCUACUCCUAGUGGAAAAAGUAUCUCUCUCCACGAUGAACAGAGGAUUGCAGCUUUCAGAUUCUAACUCGAAAGCAGAGGAAGAAGAAAUAUCAUCCAAUUGCUGGCACUGUCUUUCACCAGCUCCUCAAUUUCCACCGAUUGCA